rnacentral:rRNA from 1 species
CACGUAGGGGGCAAGCGUUGUCCGGAUUUAUUGGGCGUAAAGAGCUCGUAGGCGGUUUGUCGCGUCUGCUGUGAAAACUGGGGGCUCAACCCCCAGCCUGCAGUGGGUACGGGCAGACUAGAGUGCGGUAGGGGAGAUUGGAAUUCCUGGUGUAGCGGUGGAAUGCGCAGAUAUCAGGAGGAACACCGAUGGCGAAGGCAGAUCUCUGGGCCGUAACAGACGCUGAGGAGCGAAAGCAUGGGGAGCGAACAGG